rnacentral:rRNA from 1 species
GUUUGACCUCGGAUCAGGUAGGAAUACCCGCUGAACUUAAGCAUAUCAAUAAGGCGGAGG